rnacentral:rRNA from 1 species
UGCGUAGGCGGCUUGGUGGGUCUGGUGUGAAAGCCCCGGGCUCAGCCCGGGAAGGGCACUAGAAACUGCCAAGCUGGAGUGUCGGAGGGGAGAGUGGAAUUCCUGGUGUAGCGGUGAAAUGCGUAGAUAUCAGGAGGAAUACCGGUGGCGAAAGCGACUCUCUGGACGGCAACUGACGCUGAGGCACGAAAGCGUGGGAGCAAACA